UUAAGCCAUGCGAGUCGAACGAGUUUAGGCUCGUGGCGUACGGCCCGGUAACACGUGGAUAACCUACCCUUAGGACCGGGAUAACCUUGGGAAACUGAGGAUAAUACUGGAUAGGCAAUUAUUUCUGCAAUGGUUUUUUGUUUAAAUGUUUUUUCGCCUAAGGAUGGGUCUGCGGCCGAUUAGGUAGUUGGUUAGGUAAAGGCUUACCAAGCCGUUGAUCGGUACGGGUUGUGAGAGCAAGAGCCCGGAGAUGGAACCUGAGACAAGGUUCCAGGCCCUACGGGGUGCAGCAGGCGCGAAACCUCCGCAAUGUGAGAAAUCGCGACGGGGGGAUCCCAAGUGCCAUUCUUAACGGGAUGGCUUUUCAUUAGUGUAAAGAGCUUUUGGAAUAAGGGCUGGGCAAGACCGGUGCCAGCCGCCGCGGUAA
rnacentral:rRNA from 1 species